GGUUAAGGAGUGGAGCUCCUUGAAGUCCAAUAGAGGAUCUUGCUAGGUUAGAUUAAGCUGCUAAGCUAUGCAUCCCAUAGCCCUAUCCCAUCUUGAAGAAUAUUUUUAUUUGGAUAGGCUUAUGGCUUGCUUAUCUCAGGAGCUUUAUUACCUAACGUUAGAUCCUUGUUUGGAUUGAAGGGAGCUCUACACAUCUCCCUC
rnacentral:pre_miRNA from 1 species